UCCCCGUUAUCCGAGGCGGUUUCGUCAGAGUCCCCAACUUAAUGCUGGCAACAUGCGACGGGGGUUGCGCUCGUUGCGGGACUUAACCCAACAUCUCACGACACGAGCUGACGACAGCCAUGCACCACCUGUGAUCCUGCCCCGAAGGGAAGCCCUGUUUCCAGAGCGGUCAGGAACAUGUCAAGCCCAGGUAAGGUUCUUCGCGUUGCGUCGAAUUAAACCACAUGCUCCGCUGCUUGUGCGGGUCCCCGUCAAUUCCUUUGAGUUUUAGCCUUGCGGCCGUACUCCCCAGGCGGGGCACUUAAUGCGUUAGCUUCGGCACGGAGGGAGUCGACACCCCCCACACCUAGUGCCCAUCGUUUACAGCGUGGACUAC
rnacentral:misc_RNA from 1 species